UUAAAGGCUUUUUUCAGAGCCACCUAAAGAGCUCAGGAAAUGAGCU
rfam:Camelus ferus unplaced genomic scaffold scaffold595, whole genome shotgun sequence.